CCUACGGGUGGCAGCAGUGAGGAAUAUUGGUCAAUGGCCGGAAGGCUGAACCAGCCAAGCCGCGUGAGGGAGGAAGGCGCAGAGCGUCGCAGACCUCUUUUGCCGGGGGACAAAAGGCCGGACGCGUCCGGUGCUGAGGGUAUCCGGCGAAAAAGCAUCGGCUAACUCCGUGCCAGCAGCCGCGGUAAUACGGAGGAUGCGAGCGUUAUCCGGAUUCAUUGGGUUUAAAGGGUGCGCAGGCGGGCCGUUAAGUCGGCGGUGAAAUCGCGGGGCUCAACCCCGCCGUGCCGUCGGAACUGGGGGCCUUGAGUGCAGCGGAGGCAUGCGGAAUGCGUGGUGUAGCGGUGAAAUGCAUAGAGAUCGCGCAGAACCCCGAUUGCGAAGGCAGCGUGCCGAGCCGCCACUGACGCUGAGGCACGAAAGCGCGGGGAGCGAACAGGAUUAGAUACCCUUGUAGUC
rnacentral:rRNA from 1 species